UUUCCAUGCCCAACCCACAACUUAGUGGACGCCUUCCAUUCAAACCAAGGCCAACACAAAUGCAAAGCAUGCGCAAACUAGUUUUUUAGUUUCCCUAUGUACCAACUGGAAAUACAAGGUUCAAAAAUAAAACUGGAAAUACAUCAUGUGAUCCGUUGGCUAAUUGUCCUUGUCAAUUUUGGGGUAUGAAAUUAAUGUUAUCUAUAUUUGGACACAUGUUAAUGCAUUUAAUGUGAUUAAUUUGGCGCCAUAUUUUUAAUGGCAUUCCUAAAUUAACAUAUCGGAUUGGUAUCAACCCAGUAUAAAAAGGCUUGACAUUUCAUAUCUUCUCCAUCUCAUCCUACAACCGGGACAACUAUCAGCAGCAUCUUGUGUCAACACCAUACUAAGCCAAGAUGAGGGUAACCCUUAUGCUACUCCUGACCCUCACGUUUCUCGUGCUACCAUCAGAUGCUGAAACAACUUGUAGUUCCAGGGAUUGGCCCCCGGGGGGUACAGCGUGUGAUAGAAGCGAGUGUGAGGACAAAUGUAAGAACUAUUAUAAUGACUAUUACCAGCAUUCUACUUGUGUAGGUCUCUGUAGUUGGACUUCCAUCUGUACAGACAAUGGGUGCCAUUGCUCAAUUUGUGAUGAUCACAGCCAUCCAUUCGGGCACUGAAUAAACUGAUCCUAACUAUGUAUCCUGAAAUGGUUUCCUCAUUGAAAUAAGAGAGAUAUUAAUUGCAA